GUUCCCUCCAGCUGGUCCUCAGAUGGGCACAUCUAUUAGCCUCUGCUCUUGUAAGAAGUUAGCUGCAGAACCCACAUGUGAAUCCUUGUAGGACUGUGGAGAAGAUCAAAUGGGAGCUUGGAUGUGGAAGCUCUUUGGAAACCAAGAAACACUCUGCAAAUGAAAAGGGUGAUAAAGACCUCAAGUAUGAGUUUCAUCUCAUCUUUGAAUUCUUCAGAUCACCUGCUCAUAUUAGGAUCCCUGAAAAUGGAAAGGAAUUCCCUAGAUAUCCCAGUUUAUUCCCACACCCUAACACUGCAGAGGAGUCCCCGAAAUACGAAACAUUUCAGCCUCUCCUCAUUUCUUUCAAGGGUGGAUUGAAAGAUACCAGCUUCAGCAGGUCCUUGUAUUGAAGACAGCAUAACCCCCAAGAGGAAAGGAGCUUGGAGCCCUGAAUCAGAGUAGAAGACCAGCUGAACACCAGCCUUGGACAGUUGUGUGAAUGAAAAACAAAUUUUGAGA